rnacentral:rRNA from 1 species
UACGGGAGGCAGCAGUGGGGAAUAUUGCACAAUGGGCGCAAGCCUGAUGCAGCCAUGCCGCGUGUAUGAAAAAGGCCUUCGGGUUGUAAAGUACUUUCAGUCGUGAGGAAGGUGUUAAGGUUAAUAACCUUAGCAAUUGACGUUAGCGACAGAAGAAGCACCGGCUAACUCCGUGCCAGCAGCCGCGGUAAUACGGAGGGUGCGAGCGUUAAUCGGAAUUACUGGGCGUAAAGGGCACGCAGGCGGUUAAUUAAGUUGGAUGUGAAAUCCCCGGGCUUAACCUGGGAAUGGCAUUCAAGACUGGUUAGCUAGAGUCUUGUAGAGGGGGUAGAAUUCCAUGUGUAGCGGUGAAAUGCGUAGAGAUGUGGAGGAAUACCGGUGGCGAAGGCGGCCCCUGGACAAAGACUGACGCUCAUGUGCGAAAGCUGGGGAGCAAACAGGGAUUAGAUACC